ACGGAAGGGCACCACCAGGAGUGGAGCCUGCGGCUUAAUUUGACUCAACACGGGGAAACUCACCAGGUCCAGACUUCUGUAGGAUUGACGCAUUGGCGAUGCUUCAUGAUUAGAAGGGUGGUGGUGCAUGGCCGUUCUUAGUUCGUGACGUAAGUUGUCUGCUUUAUUGCGAUAACGAGCGAGACCUCGGCCGCUAGUUGCCGGAACUCACAUUUUGUGGGUCUUCGGCUCUUAGCGGGACUACCGGAGACAAUUCGGGGGAGGUUCGAGGCAAUAACAGGUCUGUGAUGCCCUUAGACGUUCUGGGCCGCACGCGCGCUACACUGACGCAGCCAGCGAGUUUAAACCUUUUCCGAAAGGAAUGGGUAAUCUUGUUAAACUGCGUCGUGCUGGGGAUAGAGCUUUGCAAUUUUUGCUCUUGAACGAGGAAUUCCUAGUAAGCGCAAGUCAUCAACUUGCGUUGAUUACGUCCCUGCCCUUUGUACACACCGCCCGUCGUUACUACCGAUUGAAUGGCUUAGUGAGAUCCUAGGAGGAUAUGCGCACGAGGGCAACCUCUAGCGCGUGCCCAAAUUCGAUCAAACUUGGUCAUUUAGAGGAAGUAAG
rnacentral:rRNA from 1 species